rnacentral:rRNA from 1 species
UACGUAGGGGGCAAGCGCUGUCCGGAUUUAUUGGGCGUAAAGAGCUCGUAGGUGGCUUGGUAAGUCGGAUGUGAAAUCUCCAGGCUCAACCUGGAGGGGUCAUUCGAUACUGCCAUGACUAGAGGUCGGUAGGGGAGUGUGGAAUUCCUGGUGGAGCGGUGAAAUGCGCAGAUAUCAGGAGGAACACCCGUAGCGAAGGCGGCACUCUGGGCCGAUACUGACACUGAGGAGCGAAAGCGUGGGGAGCGAACAGG